rnacentral:rRNA from 1 species
UGCCAGCCGCCGCGGUAAUACGUAGGUGGCAAGCGUUGUCCGGAUUUACUGGGCGUAAAGAGCGCGCAGGCGGUCAGGUAAGUCGAAUGUGAAAGCCCCCGGCUCAACUGGGGAAGGUCAUUCGAUACUGCUUGACUUGAAGAUGGGAGAGGGAAGCGGAAUUUCCGGUGUAGUGGUGAAAUGCGUAGAUAUCGGAAGGAACACCAGUGGCGAAGGCGGCUUUCUGGCCCAUUCUUGACGCUGAGGUGCGAAAGUGUGGGGAGCAAACAGGAUUAGAUA